rnacentral:rRNA from 1 species
GACGAACCGUGCGAACGUUGUUCGGAAUCACUGGGCUUAAAGGGCGCGUAGGCGGGUCGGAAAGUCCGGGGUGAAAUCCCCCCGCUCAACGGGGGAACGGCCUCGGAGACUGUCGGCCUGGAGGGGGGUAGGGGCGAGCGGAACGCUGGGUGGAGCGGUGAAAUGCGUUGAUAUCCAGCGGAACUCCGGUGGCGAAGGCGGCUCGCUGGACCCUUUCUGACGCUGAGGCGCGAAAGCCAGGGGAGCGAACGGG